CUGAGGCCAUCUCCUCUCAUUAUAAGUGAAGUUAUUUGACAGAAAAUGUUUUUCCAGAAGACAAGAAACUUUUGGUAAAGGCCUCCCAUAAAGUGGUCAGUGAUUAGACCCAAAAUAACAGGGGAGGCUCAGGAAAGCACCGUAAGCACGUGACUGAAACUAGUUUAUUCCACUUUGUAGGAGCUUCCUUGUGUCAGAUCCAGCUGCUGCUGUGCUCUUCCCUCAAUCUAGUGACAUCCGGUUUCCUAUACCUCAGCCUCACAGCCUUAGAAAGGAUGCCAGGUGCUGCAGCCUGGGUGCUGCAUCAAAACUCCUGUGAAGAUUGAACUCCCACAACGAGAUACUAAAAGGCCUGGGUAUUUAUUCAUCUACAAGAGAAAAUAGACUGAGAGGCAUGACUUCUACAAUCACAUCCUCCAGGCAGGGAGAAAUUAUUCACAGCAACGCGGUGAAACAGUAGCGAUUCUAAAUCUGACAGCACAUGGAAAGGCACACGAACACCGAGCUCAUCACAAUGGCAGUCUAUGAAGCUUGACGGGUGUGUGGGAGAGCUGGUGAGCAAUGCUGAAAUCCCUUCAG